GGGAAUAUUGGACAAUGGGCGCAAGCCUGAUCCAGGCAUGCCGCGUGAGUGAUGAAGGCCUUAGGGUUGUAAAGCUCUUUUACUCGGGAAGAUAGUGACGGUACCGAGGGAAUAAGCCCCGGCUAACUUCGUGCCAGCAGCCGCGGUAAUACGAAGGGGGCUAGCGUUGUUCGGAUUUACUGGGCGUAAAGCGCACGUAGGCGGAUCUUUAAGUCAGGGGUGAAAUCCCGAGGCUCAACCUCGGAACUGCCUUUGAUACUGGGGAUCUUGAGUCCGGAAGAGGUGAGUGGAACUGCGAGUGUAGAGGUGAAAUUCGUAGAUAUUCGCAAGAACACCAGUGGCGAAGGCGGCUCACUGGUCCGGAACUGACGCUGAGGUGCGAAAGCGUGGGGAGCAAA
rnacentral:rRNA from 1 species